ensembl:snoRNA
ACUGGCCCUCAUCGAAGCCGAUUUGGCAUACUCUCAGCGGCGUCGGUCAACAAAGGAGCUAAAAGCGUCUUUUACCGAUGACCACUGUUUAGAUCUCUUGUAGCUUAUCAGCGACAGUUUGGGAAAGAAUAUCA